GAUGAACGCUGGCGGCGUGCCUAAUACAUGCAAGUCGAGCGAACGGACGAGAAGCUUGCUUCUCUGAUGUUAGCGGCGGACGGGUGAGUAACACGUGGAUAACCUACCUAUAAGACUGGGAUAACUUCGGGAAACCGGAGCUAAUACCGGAUAAUAUUUUGAACCGCAUGGUUCAAAAGUGAAAGACGGUCUUGCUGUCACUUAUAGAUGGAUCCGCGCUGCAUUAGCUAGUUGGUAAGGUAACGGCUUACCAAGGCAACGAUGCAUAGCCGUCCUGAGAGGGUGAUCGGCCACACUGGAACUGAGACACGGUCCAGACUCCUACGGGAGGCAGCAGUAGGGAAUCUUCCGCAAUGGGCGAAAGCCUGACGGAGCAACGCCGCGUGAGUGAUGAAGGUCUUCGGAUCGUAAAACUCUGUUAUUAGGGAAGAACAUAUGUGUAAGUAACUGUGCACAUCUUGACGGUACCUAAUCAGAAAGCCACGGCUAACUAUGUG
rnacentral:rRNA from 1 species